UCGGCGGCAUGGACGCGGCGUUCGCGACCGGCGCGGGGUUCGCCGCGGCGGCGCUGCUGGUGGCGGUGCUCGUGCUGCGCGUGCGGCGCUGAGC
rnacentral:tRNA from 1 species